GUGCUUAGGUCAGAAGAGCCCUCAUGAAUGGGAUCCGGGCCCUUAUAAGGAGGCCCCAGAGCACCGCCCCCCCCAGCCUUCUGCCCCGUGAGCAGACGCCAUCCGUGAACCAGGGAGGGGGCUCCCACCAGACAUCCCACCUGCUGGUGCCUUGAUCUUGGACUUCCUGCCUCCAGAACUGUGAGAAAUAAGUGUCCGUUGUUCCUGAGUCCCUGGGGCUGUGGUGUUUGGUCACAGCAGUGGCGCUGACGGAGUGGAGGCGGAGAAAGCAGCCUUUAAAUAUAGCUCGGCACCAUCUGAUGCUUCAGGACUGAUGGAAGGAAGCCAGUGGCUGUCCUGACCCAGCCAGCCGCCCCCCAUCAAGCGAGGUUCAGACAUCACCCCCCACCCCCCGGCCCUCCUUGUCUUGCCGCCCCUUCCCUCCCGGGCUCAGAUGUUUCUUCGGCUUUCUGUAAAUGCCCCUCAGCACUGCAAACCCACCCCCCAAGGGGUGCAGCGUGUGACACUGACAAGCCAGCAUUUAGCGUCAGGCAGAAGGAGGCCAGCCAGCUGGGGGAAAGCCAAGUCUGACUUUAUCCAAGCACCUCUCCCUGGCCCACACUGGGCCCUAGAAAUGGCCAAUUGUGGGGCGCCCGGGUGGCUCAGCCGGCUGAGCGUCCGACUUCGGCUCAGGUCAUGAUCUCGAGGUUCUGGGA